UGACAGCUAGAUCCUGGCUAAGAUACUCCAUUACCCUCGCAUUCUUAAUAGGGGUAUGUUCACUUCAUCCUACAGAAAAUCCUACAUGUAAACUGUGCAGAGAGGAGAACCUCCCUAAUGCAAAUGGGGCUGAGACUGGUUGAAAAUGUGCCAACAGCCCCUAGUCUUCACUUUCUGAUCACCUGUAACUUGCAGCAGCAUGAUUUCUAGGCCUAAGGAGAAGAAGCAAGGCCCAGUGAGUUUCAGCACCGUGAUGGCAAAGGUCGAACUCUGAUCUUGUUUCAAUCCUUGGCCAUUCCAAAGAAAUGGCUCCAGACCUUCUGAAUGUCACUCAACUUCUCUCCACAUCAGCUGCAGGAUAGACAAGUAUUGAGUUCCCUUCUUGAAAUGGAAAAUGUUCCAGAUCACUUCACCAAAAGUGAAAAUAUAACUCUCCCCAAGAUGGUGAACACGGGAUGGCAGGCAGACCUCAGGACCACCCUGUUCCCCAAUCCAUGCAAAAAGAAAGAGCUCACAGCCCCGAAGAAAGCACUGAUAGAAUGGACUGAACAUAAUAAAAAUUAAUCAACAUGGAGCCAUUUUCUUUACAUAUGAACAAUCUCAGAAAGGUCAGCAAUAAAAAUCACAACAGUU